AUUGAACGCUGGCGGAAUGCUUUACACAUGCAAGUCGAGCGGCAGCGCGGGGGCAACCCUGGCGGCGAGCGGCGAACGGGUGAGUAACAUAUCGGAACGUACCCAGUCGUGGGGGAUAACUAUCCGAAAGGAUAGCUAAUACCGCAUACGUCCUGAGGGAGAAAGCGGGGGAUCGCAAGACCUCGCGCGAUUGGAGCGGCCGAUAUCGGAUUAGCUAGUUGGUGGGGUAAAGGCUCACCAAGGCGACGAUCCGUAGCGGGUCUGAGAGGACGACCCGCCACACUGGAACUGAGACACGGUCCAGACUCCUACGGGAGGCAGCAGUGGGGAAUUUUGGACAAUGGGCGCAAGCCUGAUCCAGCCAUGCCGCGUGAGUGAAGAAGGCCUGGUGUAAGCUCUUCGUCGGAGAAUACGCACGGUAAGUACCUCGUGU
rnacentral:rRNA from 1 species